CCAUAGCUCCACUUGCUUCUUUCUCUCCCCUCAAAUCCCAUGGUGACUGUGACAGAUGACACAGCUCUGGGGCAGGCAAAGGAGAAAGCUUGCAAAAUUGUUGGAAAGAACCCCGCUGACAGGGGCACAAGUGGCCACCUUAGAGGGUGUGAAAGAGCUGCAAAAAUCGAGUCAACAAGUAACAUUGUGAAGACAAAAGCUCCCUGUGGAUGGAUCGGGGCAGGCUAUGGUGGAGAGGAGGGUCAGCUGAGGAGAGGGUGUGCUGGCCUCGCUCAGUUCCUGGUUUUGUGUUUGUGCCGGAUGGUGGUGGAAACUCAUGUCCCUUUGUUACAUAGUUGAGUCCCUAAUGGUCCAAGGGUCAAUGCUGGAUGAAAGACUCUCCUUGGACAGGGACACUCAGUGCAUGACAUGUGGACAUGCUGUUCAACAGCAGGAGGCGGCCGCUCUUGGAGAUGCGCCAUCUUCUUAGAAACCUCAGUGCCGUGAGAGCCAAGUGGAGGAAAAAGCGAAUGUUCAGACUGGAGCGCAAAAGAGGAAGGAUGAGGGAGAGAUCCAAGUAAAGCCCAGCUCGUGCAUCCAUGGAAGCCACAGGAGCAGAAAUAAGCCACAGGAGCAGAAAUAAGGGAAGCCAGCGCCGGGGACACGGGUAUCAGUUGUUGGACUGCAUGCCUGCUGUAUAGAACUUCUUGAUGCAUCUAGAACAUACAUGUCAUCUGAUUGCUGCGACCACCUUUUGAGAGACCCACCUGCUCUUACAAAAACAGUCCCCUUUGGUCCUUUGCCCUGGACCAGUGACAUUAAGGACUGUUCUGUUCUCAGUUGUGGUUGAAUGUAACAUGUACAAUAAAUCAUCUCUUCUGUCUUA